AUACGGAGGAUCCGAGCGUUAUCCGGAUUUAUUGGGUUUAAAGGGUGCGCAGGCGGCCAUUUAAGUCAGCGGUUAAUUCGUGGGGCUCAACCCCAUUCUGCCGUUGAUACUGGGUGGCUUGAUUGCGGUCGAGGUUGGCGGAAUCCGUUGUGCAGCGGUGAAAUGCAUAGAUAUGACGAAGAACACCGAUUGCGUAGGCAGCUGACCAGACCGCAAAUGACGCUCAUGCACGAAAGUGCGGGGAUCGAACAGGAUUAGAUACCCUGGUAGUCCGCACAGUAAACGAUGAAUACUUGUUUUCGGCGAUAUAAUGUCGGAGGCAAAGCGAAAGCGAUAAGUAUUCCACCUGGGGAGUACGCCGGCAACGGUGAAACUCAAAGGAAUUGACGGGG
rnacentral:rRNA from 1 species